rfam:Procavia capensis cont1.101201, whole genome shotgun sequence.
GGAUGUGCCGGCCUUGUGGCCUACCCGAUUUGCACGGUGACUUGAUUACACGCUAGCAUUCAUGGUCACUUCCGAAGCGCUUUAGUACCUUCCGUACCUAAACCGCCAACAGCCCUGAGCGGCUUCCCCUGCGGUUUGCCUGGGAUCCGCAGGGCCCGGAAAGACAUUCGUCUCACCCGGGAUCCCC